rnacentral:rRNA from 1 species
CCUACGGGUGGCAGCAGUGGGGAAUAUUGCACAAUGGGGGAAACCCUGAUGCAGCGACGCCGCGUGAGUGAAGAAGUAUUUCGGUAUGUAAAGCUCUAUCAGCAGGAACGAGACAAGACGGUACCUGACUAAGAAGCCCCGGCUAACUACGUGCCAGCAGCCGCGGUAAUACGUAGGGGGCAAGCGUUAUCCGGAAUCACUGGGUGUAACGGGAGCGUAGACGGCUGUGCAAGCCUGAUGUGAAAGCCCGCGGCCCAACCGCGGGACUGCAUUGGGAACUACCGGGCUGGAGUGCCGGAGAGGUAGGCGGAAUUCCUAGUGUAGCGGUGAAAUGCGUAGAUAUUAGGAGGAACACCAGUGGCGAAGGCGGCCUACUGGACGGUGACUGACGCUGAGGCUCGAAAGCGUGGGGAGCAAACAGGAUUAGAUACCCUAGUAGUC